UUCAUUCUUAUUAUUUGUGGCUCUGUGCAUGCAUGCACGUUCAUCUUAGUUGUUUGUCAUGGUUUUUGCCAAUUCUAGCCCAGUCGGUUCAGAGUUAGCUUUUUUGUAAAAGAAACGAUUGGGAGUUAGUUAGCGGGACGACUCCAUCUCCACUAAUCUUUAUAUCCACUAAUCUAUGGCGACGACACUGGUUUUAGAUAUGGGGGAGUCAGAGCACUCCACAUUAUCGAGUUUGUAGGUGUGAGUGAUGGUUUCGGAUGGAUUGAUGUAUAUUUUUGUCAAACCUUUGUGAAAUUAUCUCUACUAUUAAAGAAGAAUCGAACGUCGUGAUGGUUCGACCUCCCUCGUACAACCCCGCUAGAAAAGAUCGCAGGAGCAACCCACGUUCCCUCGCAGCCUUCCUCAACGCGAUUUAAAAAAAACGACCACGACCCACUCCCGUCCCACGUCCCCUCUCGCAGUCUCCCCAACCUCUCGCUCCCGAUCCCUCCUCUCGAUCUCGUGAGAAAAAUCACCGCCGCCGCCGCCGCCCCCACACUCCGCCGCCGCCGCCCCCACACUCGUAUGCCCCGAUGAACUGCCCAUCUCCAUUGUCGUCUGACGCCCGUCUCGGUCGCCGUCGUGCAUGCCGCCCUUGUACGAUCUGCUCGCCUCCGCCACCGCAACAGCCUGGGCCGAUCCCCUUAUUGAGCCCAUUUGAUGGCGACGCCAACCCAUCUUUUGGUGCUGCAUGCGGCGACAAUGGCGAACGAGAAGAAAUCAACGUAUGCCACCACCAUCGCCGGCUUGCAGGGACCAUUGACCGCAGGUUCGAGAUGAUGCACAACGAGGCGGCGAGGGCCACAAUGGUCAACAUCACUUCAAUCAUCAGGGAGCAAGCUUAUGGCAUCAAAAAAUCGCAUUAACUAUUGGUGGUGACUGACUGUGCGGUGCACGCAUCAGUGGCGCAUCCAAAUCCACUCCACUAAUAAAUUGUCCUCUCCAUUAUAAGAUUCGGUAAAUUUUGGCGGUGGUCACUGGUAUGCCGGGAAGCUUUCAGUUUGGAUCUUGUUGGCGAUUCUCCAUGUAGCCUUGUUGGUUCUGAAUCCAAAGUGCAUAGUAAUCCUGAAGAGUUUGACUCUUUGAAUCAGAGGAAACCAAGGCACACUCGGAUAUGUAUUGGUACAGGUGAAAUCUAUGAUGGUGAAAAAGAUUAACUGCAUCGAAUACAAAGUUCCGUAACAUAGCGUAUGUGCACAAGGAUGCCUUUAUCUGAUGGUGAACUACACCUCUUCCAAAAAACACUCCACCCAAAAGGAAGCCCUGUACUAUCUUGUUUCUGUCAUAGGUGAUGUUUUUAUUCCUUGUUCUGAUGGAAACAUGGCUAAUGUUUUUGAAGGACACCACAUGCAUGUCUAUUUAUGACCUUCCUAAUAUGAAUAUCGUUUCUUCUUGCCACCAUGGAUAUGCAUUAGUAUGACAUGGUUAGCUGGGCCGAACGUGAGAAGAAAAUAUAAAUAUUUGCAUACACACAGGGUUGUAGUGUAUAGCUCUCAUGUGAAUGCAGACGUUUGUUUUGACGAAUCGUGACUAUCGUGAGCAAGAAUGAACCCAGUAAAAUAAUUUAUUUAUUUUUGUUUGUUCCUUACGAUCCAAUCAACGGACCGGGUUCCACUAUCAGCAAAAUAAUUACUGAAGGUUAACUGAAAAGUCUAUAUCUUGCAACUGUAUGUUAAUGGGCUUCCACAUGGGUUCAUCAUUCCGAACCAACAUCAACUGUUGGGACUCUGGCAUAUAUUUCUCAUCAAUAUGGUCGCAAGGUAUAAUCCAUUCUCUUUCUGCUUUAAACUGUCUCAUGCAUACUCUGCCAUAUGUUGCCUAAUUAUUUCAUUUUGCUAGGCCAUAAAAGCUUUACUUGCUUUCUGAAUCUUACAUCCACCUUUUGUUGGCAUGAUUUGUGCAUAGUCUUUAGGCGCAACUGUUUAAAUAUUUUAUGUUUUAUUUGCUGAAGCACUACUAAUUUGUCUUUGGAUGGCAAUAGAUGAUGUGUGGAUGUGGGGCCUUCCUUUAUGCGAUGUUGGUUGGUACCUACACUUUCGAUCCAUAAGAUCACACGAAUUUUGAAAUGAAAACUGACAAGUCAGGUAAGUUGCCAGCCGUUCAACUUUGCAAUUCCACAAGUUAAUACUGAACUCAUAUUGCACAGAUUAUUAGGUGUUCAGUGUUCAAUUCCAGACUGUGCACGCAUAUCUAGACUCCGGAGUCGUUAUCUCAAGGAUCUUCUUUGCCAACAUGGGCUAUGAUCUCGACAUAGACAAUGGCGGAGAGAUAAUAUAUGCUCUGUAUCUUGUAAAUGUAUGUGCCGAAGUAGCUGCAGCCUUCCACCUUAUGAACAAGUUCUGUCAAUGGUCAGGAGGGGCGAGCCCAUCAAAGAUUAUGUUCAAGGCUACAACUUGAAUCGGAAUCUCUAUUGCUAUGUAAAUAUGUGGUUCGUGCCAAGAAAAUUCAGUUAGUUGUGUGAUUCUAUUUUUGGUGUUCCUUUCUGUUAAAAGUUAAAACCGAUGGAAACAUAUAUACAUCAUUUGUACAUGGCGAGCGUGGAGUGAAAAACAUCCAGAUGCCAGUCUGCCAGCCAGUCCAGAUUCUGAGCGGGGCAAGCGGGUGUGCGAGUGGUAAGCAUCGGACUAUCCCCAUUAUAUUCUGAGCGAUCCAUAGGAAAGUAAUUAUCUUAUAUGUGAUUCUUUUUUCAAAUUAAAUUAAAUUGCAGUUGUCUUAAGUCCAGUAUAAAAACCCAUUAGGUUGUAACUACCAUUACUGAUCGAUACAAGAGUUUUAGCUUCUUGUCAGAUAUGUGUAGCUCUUGUGUCGGGAAGAAGAGGAUGGCUGUUUUGUUGGUAGUUAUGUUUUUUCUAACACUGAAAAAUAAAAAAGAGUUAAUGAUCUCCGAGGAGCGCACCAGUGCCAUUAAUGCUUAGUGUUAACAAAACUAUGUGUCAUGGUUGAGAAAAUCAAUGUUAUUUUCUUGUAAUUGACAAUGUUUGAUUGUACAUUUAGUUGGGUUGAUAUGUAUUUGACAGAGGAACGAUAUGGUUGAGUAUUCUGUGAGUAGCUCACUGGUUUUGCAUUCACUGCCAAUGGGUGGGUACAAACUUUUGGAUCAAGGUGUGUAAGACAUCAAUUAUCUAUGUUGACGUGAGCCACCCCAACCCCACGGCAGUGUUCUGGUCCAAGAGCCAAGUGCGGUAUGAGCUUGACGAGAGCUGCGACGUGGGCAUGGUACACUGCUGAUGCUGCCAGAGGAGGUUGUGCAGCAGUUGUGGUCGGGGCGGACACCAUCAUCAUAUGCGCAUGGUUGGUGUAUUCUUCCUUGGACUGUGAGGUUUGUAUUGGCAACUUUAAGGGAAAAUACGCUUUCGAACAUGGUGGUAAUUACACCUGGUUACAUAUCUUAUUUUUAAAAAUUUCAGAAAAAG